GUCUUCUGCUUCACCAAGAGCUUUCGCCUUUCUACUGUGGAUUUUCACCAGACGAGCAUUCGCUUGUUGCUGCUGGCGUAAUUUUCGACGCCACACCGCCCACGAAGUACGCCAGAGAACAAAAAGACAGAUGCGAUUUAACUUCCAAACGUCCAGAUUGCUCAGAUCCUUUGUCGUCCAGCUUCAGUUCGAAUAGUGCGCAUAGGGACGCGGAGCGCGGGUCUGAUACUCCUUCAGAAUCUUGUGCUGGAGACUGGCCCCCAACCUGAUCCGUGAUCCACUGACCAAUAUGCUUUACCACAUCCUCCGGAUUCCACUGCCAUUGUUGCACAUAGACAAGAUGCUGUUCCAACACGUUCCAAAUCGUUGCGACAUCGAUGCUGUGGAGAUUGAACGCCGCAUGUGGAAUGUGAAAAGGGAUUCUGUAUUUAUCUGUACGACGCUAACCAGGCAGCGAGAUACCACCAAGCGAUCAAUUUGACUGCUACUGCUUGCCACCACCUGUUGGAUGUAAUCGAUGGUGUUCUCAACGUCUGUCCGACUGUCCGUUUUAUUGACGAUGUCAUGAACCGCCGGAUCACGGUCAAGACCGGCAUCGUGUAUGCAGAUCAGGCGCGUAUCCGGUGUAAUAUGCUUGAAGAUGCAUGCGUAGGCGCCGCAAUGGUAGCUGCGAAGAACGUCGGGAUGCUCAUGAUAAUGCUGCACGUGAAGACCGCGGAUCAGCGGCGGCGUGGUCAGAAGUUCUUCCCACAGUUGAGAGGCGCGUCGGCAUCGCAGCCGGUCAAUAGUGUCCAGACACUGGAAGAUCUCAGUCAAAAUUUCCAAUGGUAGUGCUCAAAUUCGUUCGCCGCUGUUCACCGUCUCCUCCCACUUUGUAUGUGUUGGGGGUCUUUCCAGGACCUGGUUUGCUGCUGAAUCCGCAAUAACGCGAUAUCGGUAGUAUGCGAAAGGCCUCCGCUAAACAAAAAAAUGACAUUAGCUUAAACGUUAUAAAACUUUUGUUUUUGCUGCAGUUUGACAAAGAUAAAAUAACGAUAUUAUAUAUCUGCAAUCAUAUAAUAGGCCUGCGGAUAUGAAUAUGACUAUUACGGUAUUCCCAAUACAUACUCUAGUGCUGUACUGCCAUUUGAAAUAACGUUUGCCACGGCCACUCUCUCAACCGACGAAAAUAUUUUUUUAGGUAUACCCACGGGUCUUUUUUGAAAAAACGAAAUUUUUGGUAGACGGGAGCCAGUGAUAUGGCCCUGGAUAUAUGCCAGUAUUUAGAAUUAUUAUGUGCACAAGUAUUUUAUGAAGAAUAUUUCAUGUACAUUUUCUCUUCCGGGUACAAAUAUAUAAAAUCAUUCUGAUAUUAUAUUAUGUGCAUAUACAGUAUUACCGCGAAACAUGUGUGGGAGUGCGCAAACGUUAAUUCCCUGGGUAUACACCAGCCUCGGGCCAUG